GUAAAUCUACAUGAUGCCAAAGACGAAGCUGCUGUUCGAACUUCAGCAAGGUCUCAGCCUCCAGGGCUGAAAGGACCCUCCUAGGAGUCAGGAGGGUCUGCACCUCAGGCUUUGAGGCUUCUGGGGUCUGGCAGAGAGCUUGCACACAGACACCCACUACCUUACUUCUUACACUUUAUUUUCACUCCUUUUGUAACUUUCCAAUUUAAAAAAAUCAAACACGUCUUUCUAGUGAGGUAAUUUUCAUUUGAGUCCAUCUGUAGAAAAAUCAAUCUCCACCAGUAAGGAAUGGGGAUGCCCAGGCCUGACAGAAGGGGCGCUUUCUGUGCCAAAGCCAAGAAGUUUGGGGUGGGGGAGCUUCUGAGAAACCAGACUGCAUCCUCGCUGUACGCCAAACUGGGACCACUGGGGAGAAUUUAUGGAACAUAAAAAUCUUCUAUACUUCACUCCGAGGUACAUUUAUUUACUGACAGCAUUUUUUUAGAAGUAGAAUGGUUAUUCUUGGCUUGUUGUAUAUGUCUUAGAUUUUUCAGUCAAGAUAAGAGAGAGAUUCAAGUAAUAAAACUUACACACUUAAGAGAUCAUGCAACAUCUAUUUCAGUAAAAUAUGUGUUGCUUGAAUUCUUGGGCAGGGCAGAAAGUCUGGAUCAGAAGCCAUAUGGCCCAUGUAUGUUUUAUUUAGACAACAUGAUGUUUUAAAAUUUUUAGAAUAAGUUAUUAACAUUUGAAAAUGGGGGGAUUUCACAAAUAAAUCUGGUUUCUGGCCUCUUAUUUAAAAAAAAAAAAAAGACGUGGCAACCUUGGGCCUCCUUCCCACAAGGCCACGGUCUGUCGCAGCGCAGCAGAGGCUGCUUUCAACACACACCACCUUUCUGGCCCCUGAAAGCAUCUGAAUUUGCAACCUCUGGGACUGUUAAAGUGAGAACCCAAGUUCAGUAACAAUACCAAGUUUCACCAAUCACGAUCUAAUGACAGCGUACGUCAACUUAACCCUGUCGCUGGAGGAAAAGGCGUGCACAGUACAAAGAUUCAUCUGUGCAAAUGUGACUCCUCAACUACAUGAAUGCAAUUUCUGUGAGGGAAGAACCACACACAGCUUUCCCCACCUUCCAGCAUUGCUGUAUUUAGCAAACACUUCUGAGCAUUUGCCAGGGGCUGGGCGGGUUAAUCUAUUAAUAUACAGUCAGCCGGCCUCCUGCGACCGACACUGAAUGAUGUCAUGGCUUUUAGGUAAAGCAUAUUCUCAGUAGGAAAAAAACAAAAGAAAGCAGAAAACCCUCAUCCAAGAUUCUCUUUUGCACUAAGUACUGUCAGAGCAGAAAUUUCUCAUUUUGUUGGAACCAGACAAAAGAAUGUUCUCCAUAGAGAAGGAGCCCUUUGCAAUCUCUCUCUCCACCAAAGCCUGGAUGCUGGGAGACCAGCCUGUUCCCAGGUUGUCAGGGAGGCAGGGUGAGCGGGGUGACUGGAGCCAGGCUGCUGAAUGAGGGUGGCCUUUUGUGGUUCCCCUAUAUUAGAAGCUACCUACUGCUGUAUUAAAGCAGCCCUGGUCACAGGAUACCAAGUAUAUUAUUUGCAAAAUUGCAGUUUACAAAAAACUUUCAACAUUCAUUGUACUUGCUUUUGCUUUUAAGAUUUUAUGCCAGGAUGGUUUCCUUGUCUGUGUUUGUUGUUGCUGAUUUCCUGCUGGGCUUCAUUAAUUAGCCUAUGUCACCCUUACCUCUGCUGCCCUGGCUGCAGUCUGGCUGAUAAGAGAAAUCCGUGGGUUUUGCCUCCUUUAUCCCCACUGCAGCUUCAGAUAGUCUAUCAAAAACAGGGAUGUGAAGGAGGGUGAAGACGAGCGGUGUCUGACACCACAGCCUUGUUCAGAGGCCUCUGAGGGUGAAAAUUCUGUCCUGGGCUUCUCAGGGUGUCUUCUCUGAGCAGCUUCUGGUUGUUGCUUCUCCAAUAGUGCAGACCUUUCCAGCACAUCUGCCCUGGAG
rnacentral:lncRNA from 1 species